rnacentral:lncRNA from 1 species
AUGGGGAGGCGGCCGGCGUGGGGCCCGCGGAGGUCUCCGAGCAUCGUCAGAGGAGAGUCGGGGGCAACGCGGGUGGGCCGGGGAGUCCCGGCGUCUCCGAGGGGGCGGGCUGGCGGAGGGAGGCUGGCCCGGGCGCUGGGACCCGGGACAGACCAGGACCCCGAGUUGACGGGCUCCACGGGCACGCAACGCCGUGGCCAGGGGGUCGGAAGCGGCUGGAGUCACGGAUCCUCGGAGCUGAGAGUCUGGCUAGCAGGGGCCAUGCAGCCCUGCAGGAGAUCCCAGGGAGAGGGGUCCGCAGACUCGGCUCUGUCCGGGGGGCUCUGGACUCCUGGACGCGCGAGCCGUUGCAUCCUUUCCAUUCAACCCAAUCCAACCAGCUGUCCUCAAGCACCCCUCCUGUACAGAGCCAUGUCCUGCUGCUGCUUUCCUGGGACUGCUGGUCAAGGUGAUCUUCCUCCAGUCCAUUGCUUUGAAUCCAAGGCCUCACGUUCACCCCAGGUGCAGACACAACACUUCAUUCACAAUCAGCAAGAAAAAGAAGGAGGAGGAAUUCUAUUCAGAUGACCACACAGCUGGCUUCUUCCAUGCUUUUCUUCUGGCUCCAUCAGUCCUGCAUCCAAGGUCUAGCUUCUCAGAUCUGGGGUUCUUCAUGUCAGGAAAGUCCAGCCCACACCACUGCUAUAGGCCAGCCCCCCCCCCCACCACACCAUGGCCAUGGUUCUGGCCUCUGAUGCUGCCCUUGCCCUCUGGGGGGGAAAAAAAGAAGAAGAAGAGGACAUUAAGAAGAAAACACAUGCAUUCUAGCUUUCUCAAUCCCUACACAGCCCCGCAUGAAAUCCUCAAAGAAGAUCCCAUAUGUGUGAACUGGGACAGCUAGGUGGCACAGUGGAUAGAGUGUUGGGCCUGAAUUCAGGAAGAUUCAUAUUCCUGAGUUCAAAUCUGGCCUCAGACACUUACUACCUGUGUGACCCUAGGCAGUCACUCCACCCUGUUUGCUUCAGUUUCCUCAUUUGUAAAAUGGGCUGGAGAAGGAAAUGGCAAACCAUAGGAGUAUAUUUGCCAAGAAAAUCUUAAACCGGGGCAUGAAGAGUUGGACAUGACUGAACAACAGUAAUACAUGUGAACUGGAAAAGGGAGUUCACCUUGCUUAGAAGCAGCAGGAGGAAUGAAAUGAACUUGGGAUGAAAAAGGGGUAGGGUGGGGGAAUGUGAAUCUUUGGCAUUCUUGCAUUCCACCGUGGGAGACAGCACUACCGCCUUCAGUCACCACCACCCUCCUUUUACUGACCAUGAGCUUGUACUAACCCCUUCGCCACUACCACCCCAGAUGACAUAUUGAACUCUUUCUCCACAGUUAGCUAACACUUCCUAUUACCUCCACAAAUGCAGCCUUAGGUCUGCUUCCAAAGGUCUCUUCGAUCUUAGUCACCCGCAGGGAGCAAGAGGAGGGGAGAGGGGAAGCUCCUCUUUAAUAUCACCUUCCAAACUCUCUUCCCCUUUCUUCAGUCCCUCUCCUCCCUACACUGUCA